AAAGGAAUUGACGGGGGCCCGCACAAGCAGUGGAGUAUGUGGUUUAAUUCGAAGCAACGCGAAGAACCUUACCAGGGCUUGACAUAUAUUAGAAUAUACUAGAGAUAGUAUAGUCCUUCGGGACUGAUAUACAGGUGGUGCAUGGUUGUCGUCAGCUCGUGUCGUGAGAUGUUGGGUUAAGUCCCGCAACGAGCGCAACCCCUGUUUCUAGUUGCCAGCACGUAAUGGUGGGAACUCUAGAGAGACUGCCGGUGAUAAAUCGGAGGAAGGUGGGGACGACGUCAAAUCAUCAUGCCCUUUAUGUCCUGGGCUACACACGUACUACAAUGGCCACUACAGAGGGAAGCAAGAUAGUAAUAUGGAGCAAAACCCUAAAAAUGGUCUCAGUUCGGAUUGAAGGCUGAAAUUCGCCUUCAUGAAGCUGGAAUUGCUAGUAAUGGCAGGUCAGCAUACUGCCGUGAAUACGUUCCCGGGCCUUGUACACACCGCCCGU
rnacentral:rRNA from 1 species